rnacentral:lncRNA from 13 species
AUUUGCAUAAGUGUAAUAAGAAUCUGUUUUCUUUUGUAAUAGGACAAAAUUGGAGAAAUUGGUUAUUUUACCAAGGCUUUAACUGGAAUGGUUGUGCUUUCCUAUAAGGAAUAGAAGUUGACUCAUAAAGCCAAUAAAAGCCCCUUGGAAAUUGGCUGCAGACCUCAUGACCUGUGGGCAAAACCUCAAACCAGUUUGUGUAGCUAUCUACACAUACGAAGAAAUCCUGAUGUCCCUGAGACUUAUGCUUCCUUCUCAUCUCCUUUCCAAUGACCUCGGCAAUAGAAGACUGCUACCUCUUUGGGUUCUUGGACAGCUUGUAAUAAGUCUAAAAUUUCCUCAUGAUAUUUAA